AGAGUUUGAUCCUGGCUCAGGAUGAACGCUAGCGGCAGGCUUAACACAUGCAAGUCGAGGGGUAACAGGGAGUGCUUGCACUCCGCUGACGACCGGCGCACGGGUGCGUAACGCGUAUGCAACCUACCUUUUACAGGGGGAUAGUCAAGAGAAAUUUUGAAUAAUACCCCAUACGAUCCUGAUAUCACCUGAUAUUUGGAAGAAAACUUCGGUGGUAAAAGAUGGGCAUGCGUCCUAUUAGUUAGUUGGUGAGGUAACGGCUCACCAAGACAGCGAUAGGUAGGGGUCCUGAGAGGAAGAUCAGCCACACUGGGACUGAGACACGGCCCAGACUCCUACGGGAGGCAGCAGUGGGGAAUAUUGCACAAUGGGGGAAACCCUGAUGCAGCCAUGCCGCGUGUGUGAAGAAGGCCUUCGGGUUGUAAAGCACUUUCAGUUGUGAGGAAAAGUUAGUAGUUAAUACCUGCUAGCCGUGACGUUAACAACAGAAGAAGCACCGGCUAACUCCGUGCCAGCAGCCGCGGUAAUACGGAGGGUGCGAGCGUUAAUCGGAAUUACUGGGCGUAAAGCGCACGCAGGCGGUUUGUUAAGCUAGAUGUGAAAGCCCCGGGCUCAACCUGGGAUGGUCAUUUAGAACUGGCAGACUAGAGUCUUGGAGAGGGGAGUGGAAUUCCAGGUGUAGCGGUGAAAUGCGUAGAUAUCUGGAGGAACAUCAGUGGCGAAGGCGACUCCCUGGCCAAAGACUGACGCUCAUGUGCGAAAGUGUGGGUAGCGAACAGGAUUAGAUACCCUGGUAGUCCACACCGUAAACGCUGUCUACUAGCUGUUUGUGACUUUAAGUCGUGAGUAGCGAAGCUAACGCGCUAAGUAGACCGCCUGGGGAGUACGGCCGCAAGGUUAAAACUCAAAUGAAUUGACGGGGGCCCGCACAAGCGGUGGAGCAUGUGGUUUAAUUCGAUGCAACGCGAAGAACCUUACCUACACUUGACAUGCAGAGAACUUUCCAGAGAUGGAUUGGUGCCUUCGGGAACUCUGACACAGGUGCUGCAUGGCUGUCGUCAGCUCGUG
rnacentral:rRNA from 1 species